rnacentral:lncRNA from 1 species
AUAGAUUACCUUGAUGAGUCAGCAUACCUCAACUCACCAACUUAAUCACUGAUCAAAUUUUGGAUUGCUACAGUAAUUUCGGCCGUCCGAAUUCCAGACCCAAAAGUUUUUUAUCUUUCUUUUAAAAUUUGGUGUCCGCAUCCUAGUUCCUAAUUAGAAUCAGCACAAUAGUUGUAAUAUACCGAAAUUUUGGUAGGUUGUACCGAACUUCAGUCGAAUUGACCGAAGUGUGGUGUUGGACUAGAUGGUGAGGCCCGUGAGACGUUCGGAAUGUUUCGAAAUGGUUUGGAUAGGGUGUGGGGACCUUGGAGAGGAAAUCUAGAAAAAUUGGAAUUGUUUGAGCGUGUUUUGCUUUCGGGGUCCGGACCCUAAGUGCAGGGUCCGGACCCCAUACACUCAGAAAGUCUGGGUGGUCCAGAAUAGUAUUUU